AGAGAUCGACCAGUAAUUAUUUCUCUUAUUUGUGUAAAUGUAUUUUGAGGCUUCUCAUGUAAAAUUUUUAAUCUUCAAACAUCUCGUGCUGUGAGUGAAUUUGUGAAACCAAGGUAAUAAAAAUAUAUUUUAAAGGGUACUGUCAAUCUUAUAGAUUACAUAAUGUAGGCAUAUUUUGAUAUAUUUAUUCAUUGGAAUAUUUUUGAUUUGACAUUCAGUUACGAAAGGUUAUGUGGGGCUAGUUGUCACAAAUUACACGGGGCAAGAUGUCACUGUGACAACUUGCCCCGCAGCAUUUAAAUCUGUUAAAAUGAUUUUAGACCGCAUUAAAAUCAUAUAUUAAAUUGCUAAAGAAUACAGGGUAAAUCAUUUAUCAAUUUUUCAAAGGUAAACUUUAUGUGAAAAAGUGAUUUAAUAUCUACAGGAUUAAAAUUUUAUUUCUAACCUAAAUGCUGUUAUUCUGCUUGCAUAGCAUGGAUGAAGAUAAACCCCUGGAAAAACUAUUACUAUCUAUGAUAUACCUGGUAUUGUGGCAACAUCUCGGCCUAUGAUACUUAACUACAAGUAAUAUAAUGUCGGGAUUUAGGAUCACUGGUAUUUAUCCCUUUAACGGGGAUCUCAGAACAAGACUUCCUCCCCAGUUACGUUACCAAUCGAAAGAACCCAAAUGAAACGGAAGUGGGCACACCUGACACCUUAGGAGGGAAAAAUGAACUAAUAUGUACAGGAAACGAAAAUCGUGGGUUAGAUAAUUUAGAAAACUUGAAUGUUUGUCAACAUUCAAGAAAAUUAAGAUCCGAAUGAAAACCUUGCAGGUCCCUCGGAUUUACUAUAGGUAAAAAAAAUGAGAGUCGGAAAUGACACCACCCGGAGGAUUUAAAGCAGGGCUGUCUGUAGAAACGGUUCGUCCUUUCCCAAAGGCUGCGAACAGGACCAACUGCAUUCAACGUAAAAAAACGCAAAUCAUCAAUACUAACAGAUACUCCAGUCAAGGAUGUAAUUGUCCACGACGAAAAGUCUAGACAGAACAAAAAAAAAUAUACAAAAAAAGAAAAGCGUUAAAAUGAAUCUGCCGUCUUCCCAAAAAAAGUAAGGCCAAAAAAAAAGAAGCCAUUUCAUCAAACAAAUAAGACUGUAUAUAGCUUGUUUGCGGAGAACUUUAUUGGGCUACUAUAGAAAGUUGGACCGACGUACAGCAUGCAAACAAUGGACACAUACAGGCUGCACUAAUGGAAAUCAAUUUUAUGUGUGCCACAAUUGUGACUCAGAGGACGAUAUGUAGUUAUUUCUAAGUUUGUAAGUUCUUCUUUGAAUAAAAACGUUUUAUUUCACA
rnacentral:lncRNA from 1 species